GAGCAAGCAUCCCUUUCUCUUUUUCCUAUUGGAACAAUACAGAGAAGAUGAGCAAGUCCCCUGUGCAUAACUGUUUUAGAAAUUGGUAAUGGGUACAAUGUAUAA
ensembl:snRNA U6 U6 spliceosomal RNA